rnacentral:rRNA from 1 species
GACGGAGGAUGCAAGUGUUAUCCGGAAUCACUGGGCGUAAAGCGUCUGUAGAUGGUUUAAAAAGUCUAUUGUUAAAAAUUGAAGCUUAACUUCAAAGAUGCAAUGGAAACUUUUAAACUUGAGUAUGGUAGGGGUAGAGGGAAUUUCCAGUGGAGCGGUGAAAUGCGUAGAUAUUGGAAAGACCACCAAUGGCGAAGGCACUCUACUGGGCCAUUACUGACACUGAGAGACGAAAGCUAGGGGAGCAAAUGGG